rnacentral:lncRNA from 1 species
CGUUAUAUGUAGCGUUAAUGCAAAGCUUAAUAGAUUUUAUUUAGGCAGUAUUUAGGCAGAUCAUACCUGUACGAGGAUUCCACACUGCAGAUUAGCAAAAAGCCCAUCGGCUGUUGAUAGACUAGGGAAAAGGCGUAGUCUAUAAAGGCGUCUAUUGGUUUGUGAGAACAUAUCACGUUUGAAGACGAUUGAAGAAGGUGUGGGUGCCUAUUGGAGAAACGGAAAAUUUGACCGCAAUUGGCUGGCCAAGAGACAACGAUCACCAACGUCAUCAACACUAACCCGAAUUUGACGCGAGCGACGAGUCUACAAUGGGGCUUGUUAACGGAGCUUCGAGAGGAUGGAGCGUUUGCUAAGUGGAAAGGGUCAUUUUCCUUCACGUUCGACACAAAGCAAUGUGCCCUUGGCCCUUCACAAGUCGCCUCAAACGUGUCCGUAUUAGGGAUUUUUUGAAAGAGAAGCCCUGAUUUGAGGCUCCAUCGGCCGGACGUCUUUUUCGGACUCUCGUCAAGAAGCCAUUUGUGACAGAUGGUAUUCAAUCAUUGGAAUUCUCAGUGUUUGAAAUAUUUAGUAAACACUUCUGUGAAUGGAUUCCUUGGCGGCAAAAAUCGAUCGCACAUGCGAGUAUCACAUAGAGAAGACAUCGGUCCUGCAGGCGAAGAAAUUAUCUUCAUUUCAAGUGACGACGAAGUGGCGACUGGACAUUCGACCGAGAUGGCGUUUAAUUGAUCUGGGAACAGACUGCAUGAAUACAAUAGAUUUCAUGUAUCCCUGAACGUCAAACUUGUACGCCCAAAAUCUAGGAGCGAAUACCUAUGCUUCUACGUUAUGCCAAGAUCAGUGAGUCACCUCCGUCAAUAAUUACGUGUAACUAUAUCGUUUUGGCAGCUGCUCUAGUGGUGGCAGAGCAAAGCGUCUAGCUUUAGGUUAUUUAGAUUCGAGAUAGGUCACCCUCUCAUGGGUGUUACAGCCAGACGGCAGCUCGUCGCCAAGCGAGCCAUUGCCGCCUUAGUCAGCCGUCGUAACUUCGCUACGGUUGCUUCCAUGUCGUAGUAAUUGUAUUUAGAAGUAGGAGUGCCGGCCGCAGUAGCAUUGUUGGUCAUGAUCAUAUGGCCUUUAGACAUCGUUGACGUAGCGGCAGUCGUCAUGAAGAUGGUUUUAUUAUAAACUUUUCCUACGUCCCGACGCUCUAUUGGUGGGUGCGUUGCGACACCGGCGUGAGUUAACUAGGUGGCUACUUCGAAGCUAUAUGUAUACAAGAAGUAGCAGAGUAGGCAAGCAAGGGCCUUCUUCACCAUCCGAUUUUAUUGCAUAGAUGGCCUGAACACAGCCCGACGGUGGGAAGUGGCAGUGGUAGAAAAGCAAACUGUAAAAACACGUUUACCGACUGAACUCGCCAAAUGCGUUUAUCCAAGAACUAAACGAUAGUUUACUACAAGAGUUUUACAAUACGCGUGUCACAUAUAAUAUAGUAAACGAUCAACUAUAUCUGUUGCUUUUUUUGUCAUCGUUCUAUAUGAGAAAUCCUUAACGGAACUUAUAGGCAACACGAUAGUGGAGUAAAUUAUUCCAAUUAAAUUGUUUGUCGGAGAACAAUUAUUUAUUAUUAUUAUUAUUAAUAGUAGAUAUUAUAUAGCGUUUGGUUUGAAUUUAUGUGAAUAUUAC